rnacentral:lncRNA from 1 species
GCGGCGGUGAGCGGCGGGCUAGAAGGCGGCUGCGGCUGCCCUGGCUCUGCUCUUGACCGCCGCCAGCCCCGGGAACUUUCCGACGCCGCCGGGAGACGGGGGACGGGCAGCCCGGGCUGGGACGCGGCCGGACCGCUGGAGCCGUGCGGGCUGGGGAAGAAGGUUUAUGGGAUGCAGGAUAAUGGAGCAUGCUCUAUCUGGGACAUUGCUAGUCUUAUGACAGAGGGAGAAGACAGCGAUGAGUUUUCGAAGAACUCCAGGAAGUGGCUGCAGAGCAAAGUAGGAUCCUGAUACUGAGCUCAAGUGAUUCAGAAUGAAAAGACCUUGGCACAGACCUGUUAAGGAAGCUCCAUAUAAGGUGAAGAAAACAACAUGCUCAGCCAUGUCCUUGCCUUCUGCACACGGUAGUGCAUUCACUGCCUGAGAAUUCAAGGCUAAAACAAAAAGAGGAGCUUUUGUUCCAACAGAUAAGUACUUACCUUUUUCAAAAAAUGCAUAAGCUGUCCUGGGUGUUUAGCAGUUAUUCGCACAGCUUUCCAAAGACUCACAGCAUUUAAAAGCUAACUCUACAGAGAUUCAACAGCUUCUUCCAGAUCCCACCACAGUGGAAAAGAACUCCGGUGUCCUGGCUCCCUGUCCAGCUCUUCUCUCUCCCCUUCCAGCUGCCAGUUCAGCUUUAAGAAGUUCAUUCUCCACAUUCAGAUGCAGGCAAAUGCGUUUGACUUGAGCAUAUUGAUUUCAGGCAGGUGAGAGUGGAUGUAGCGAUUCAGCUUGACAAAUAUUUAGAUCAGUUAAGUGUCCUUUAUAAAGAAGCACUUGAACUCAGUGUUUCCUUUACCCGACCAUUUCACUCCACAAGCUACCUCCCCAGCAUAAAAUAUUCAAAUUAUUUCUAAAUUUCAUCUACUGAAAAAAUACUUCUAGGCCCUAUAGCUACAUGAUAUCUCCACUGGGAGCCCUGUCCUUUCCAUGCCCUGGGAAAACCCGAUCUAAAGCAGAUUUAAAUGACUCAGCAGUAGGACUCAGGUCUCUGUCUCUGCCUGCUUACUUGGGGAGUGCUCCAGCCUUAGGGGCUCUCUUGCACUCCAACAUAGGAAAGAAAUUAUCGAUGGCUCCAUUCCCCAGCAUUUGAGACUUUUCUUCCCACAGACACAUUCCUGAGGACACCAGUCAUGGGUAAAGAACUCCACUGGGGUCAGCGUUGGAUCCCACUAGGCAGUUUAGGACUUGUAAGUAGAGUAGUGUGGACUUGGUGUUCCCAGAGCCUCUCACUCAUGAUUCAUGGCUCUCCACCCCAAGCAUCGGAACUUGCCCAACUUCACCACAGAAGGAAACAGACUGUAAGCUUGGAGGGCCAGGGAGGAAACCGGAGGCAUGUGUGGGAGGAUUAGAAACAUGAAAAGAUAUUUACAGUAAGGUUCGCUUGUCAUCCUCUUGAACUGGGGGUGCAUAGAGUACAAUAAGACCCCAUGUGAGUAUGUUAGAUGAUAAGGCUCAGGUUGGAUGGGUGUGUAGAGUAAAGGCUUUGCAUCACCUUUGCCAGGGUGAGGGAAGGCUAUGGAUAGCACAGGGGACCUUGAUGAUCGGGUGAGGGAGCCCAUGUGGACAUAGUGGUCACCAGCUACUUCCUAGUUCUCUACAUGGGAGAAAGAGCCCUUCUCUGUAAUCAUGGAAGCUCAAGUUCUUGGUGGUUCAGAGGUUAGAGACCUCUGAUUACUAGGACAGAGCAGAAUAGCAGGGCUGGUCCUGGUAGAUCAGACAUCUCAUGACAUCCUUUAAAAGGGACUAGAAUAUUCAGAACUCCGGUGUAACUAAAUGAUCCUCAAGCUUUACCAGCAGGUGAGCAAGGUCCCAUUGUAUUUGGUACUCACAUCCCCACCAAUUCUGUAAAAGUUUGCCAACUUUCCCCUCCAUCCCCUGCACCCUUUCACCAAAAGAUAUGCCUAAGAGUUCCCAAGAGACGUCUAACAUAGGCCUGCAUGUCAGCCCAGUCUUCUGGGCUGAGCUGCUGCACUGUUGCUGGCCUUGAUGGCUGAACCUGAUCUCUGUUGUGGCACCCACCACUCUUUCUCAAGCCUUGACACCUUGGCAGGCUUUGGCAAAAAGAGGAGAGCUGUUCUUCCUCGGCAUUAUGUUCACUUAGCAGGGUCCCACAGCAGGAUUGCUUGGACCCCAGAGUAUUGUAGGGCUUAAUAAGACCAGCCCUUUCAUCUCACACGCUCUAUCCUUUCUCUCACUGGUGCACCCACGUCAGGUGUCUUGAGUGGGGAGUGCUCGAAUAUCUGCCACCAGCUUGAGUCAGAACCUCGACUUCCCUCAGCUUUUCAGGGUCUGUUACUGAGUCUGGUCCACACUCCAGGGUCUUUUCCUCA